rnacentral:snRNA from 1 species
AGCUUUGCGCAGUGGCAGUAUNGUAGUCAAUUAGGUUUAUCCAAGGCACGAUUAUUGCUAANUGAAAAAUGCUAUAAUAUGAGGAUUCAGUAUAAGUCACAGUUGCUUGAAUUUUCAGAAACUAGAUUAG